ensembl:lncRNA
UUUUUUUUUUCUUUUAUUUUUCAGCUGUACCCAUGGCAUAUAGAAGUUCCUGGGCCAGGGACUGAACCCUCACCACCUCGGAGACAACACUGGUUCCUUAACCUGCUGCACCAUAGUGGGAACUCCCAGUUUCUCAUUCAUGAUUUGGAAUACUGCAGAAUAAGUAUUUAUGAGGCCUAAAAAACUGUACAGAAGGGAAGCUGCAGCUGGAGGCAUUCUUCCGGGUUGCCAAUCUGGGGAGUAAAAAUAUUGCUGUUGUCAUGACUUCUGCUGCCCAUGCUAGUUAGUUAGGAUGUGGUUAGGAGCACAUUGUUUAAGAAUGGUUAGCCACCAAAGACAGGGAGAGAGGACAAGUCCAGCCCAAGGGAAGAGUCAAUGCCAAACUGCUGGUUCUUUUUGCCCCAGCUCUUGAUCUCAGUCCUCUUCCAGUCUAGCUGUGGGCUGUCCUAGAACCCAGAACCUGCAUUUCAAUAGGGAUAUUAUUGUACAAGACAUGACACAGAUUGACAGGGAGGAAAUUAAGAGAAAAAUAUUAUCUCAACUGAACAGAUGGGAUCAUAAUAUCAACAAGCUAAAUUAGCAUGAAAAAUGUGUCUGUAAUUUAUUCCGGACAAGUUGUCCCACCCAUCCCUAAAGGCUAAAUCCUGCCUAGGUGUGGCAGCUCAUUAGAAUGACAAAUAAGGAGCCCCAAAGCAGCAUGCAAAACAGCUCCAGGAAACAAAGAGUUGGCUGGCAGGAUAGCAAGGGCUAUAUACCACACUCUUAUUUCAGGGAACGGUCCCCAGCAAGAGUCCAAAGAAACCUCAUUUGCUUCAUAAGUACUGUUACUAUCAAUUAUUUUCGAGACAAAGAUGAUACAGGUGUCCCCCCAAAUUGAUUCUGCUAAGAGAGGAGCAAAAAGAAAAUGGUUAAAAACCCAAGGCAGAGAAAGGAAGAUAUUUCCCCUUAAUACUCACAUGCUGUUUUAAUCUUUGGCAAUAAGAACAGAAUGAAACUUUGAAAAAGCAGAUGAUCCUUAUAUUCUGAACAGCUCAAGUGAGUUUUGCAGAUACUGAGAAUUAACAUUUUAGGAAAUCUAGGACAAAAUCCUAUUAAUAUUCAUCACUGUUCUGCAGAUUAUAGAUAGUAUCCAUGUGAGUCAUGAAAUUCCUUCUUUAAAAAAAGAAAAAACACCAAAAUGUCCCCAUGACUAGUUCACAGAUGUGGACCAACUCAACAGGGGACAUCAACUUUAUAUGAUAUAAAGGAACAAGAGGCUAGACACAGAGAGAUGGCCCAUAUUACAAGACACACAUGUUACUCUUUUAUUCCAGGGGAAAAAAACCCUCCUCCUUCAUGACAAAAAUAUUUCACACUAGAGGGACAAAAAAAGCAAAAUGAGAAAAGCAUUUACUUUGGCAGCAGUAUUAGAAAAUUGUAUCCCAGAAGAUGUUCACAUUUCCUUUCCUAUUACAAAUAAAUGAAGGACAUAUUUUGCCAAAACCCAAAAAAACCUUUUAAAGGUAUUUAUUAUAAAUUCAGGUAAAGAGGCUGGAACAGAACAGUACUGUCCAAGAGAGCUUUAAUGCAAGCCACAUAUGUAACUGAAAACUUGCUAGUGGCCAUGUUUAUAAAAGGUGAAAUUAGUUUUUAAAUAUUUAAUUUAACCCAGUCUAUCCAAAAUAUUAUCAUUUAAAAUAUAAUCAAUAUAUAAUUAAUGAGAUUUUACAUUUUUUUUCAUACCGUCUUCAAAAUUUGGAAUAUGCUUUGUACUCACUGCACAUCUCAAAUUCAAGUGCCCAAUAAUUCUAUGCGGCUUGCUGGUUACCACACUGGGUGGUGCUGUUCUGUACCAUAGUACUUUCAUUGCCAAGACAUGAAUGAUGAUAGAGCUUUUUCAUCAGAAAGUUUUGUGACAGUGAAUUUUACCACCAUUGGCCUCAAAGGGAUGUAUAUUACGAGAGCAUGGAAAGAUCUAAAUCUUUGUACUGUUCAUUAAAAUCAGGACCAAGUUUUCAGUUAAUAUCCUUUCAAAUACCAGGGUCCUUGGUAUAUUACAAACUCCCUAGGAGUUCCCUUGUGGUGCAGCAGGUUAAAGAUCCAUCUUUGUUACUGCAGCAGCUUGGGUCACUGCUGUGGCGCUGGUUCAUUCUCUGGCCCAGAACCUUCCUAUGCCACAGACAUGGCCAAAACAAACAAAAAACUAACAUGCUGAGCCCUUAUUUAGCAGAAACCUCAGAAAAGAAUAAGCACUGUAGUUCUCAUACCUACCAGUUUACGUACAUGAAAACACAUCACUACCACAAACUGCAUUAUAAUUGCAUGAUGCUGUUUCAUUUAGCUUAAGGAUUAUUUAAUUAUAUGUCCAAUAUAAUUUCCUAUGACUCAAAUCAUUUAAAAAGCUGUUCUAAAAGUAUAUACCACUUGGUCUAUUGCUGUAAGCCUACUACAUGUUGACAUCUUAAGGAAAUGUGUACAUACAAACAUGGGAUCUAUAUAAAGAGUGCCUUUUGGUGAAAUUCUGGAACAGAAAACGAAAUCAUGACAUUAAUUUUCCACCAAAUAACUGGAAUUCAUGAGCCUUAAAAUUGCUCCAAAAAAGGAACACUUCUAGUGUUCUAGGAUCCUUCUAGAACAUAAGAAAAUUUCCAAAGUGUAUUUUUUUUUGGCUAAUAUGCUGACAAGGGAAAAAUUAGCCACAAUAAAAGUACCCAAUGUAGGCAUUUAACUUUAUUUUCUCCAAAGAGAAUAAAUAGUUUCACAUGCUUUUCAUACUUCUGGAAAUAGCUUCAGAUUUUUCUGCUUCCAAUAUGCUUUCUCUCUACCUUAAUAGAUAAGCACUAAUCAAUAAAAAGUAUAAAGAACUUUUAAAAAUUAACAAUCCUGCAUGUUCACUGCAGCACUAUUCACAAUAGCCAAGAUAUGGAAACAACCCAAAUGUCCAUCGACAGAUGAUUGGUUUAGGAAGAUGUGGUAUAUAUUCACAAUGGAAUACUACUCAACCAUAUAAAAGAACAAAAUAAUGCCAUUUGCAGCAACAUGGAUGAAACCAGAGACUCUCAUACUCAGUGACGGAAGUCAGAAAAAGAAAAAUACCAUAUGCUAUCACUUAUAUCUGGAAUCUAAUAUAUGGCUCAAAUGAAUCUUUCCACAGAAAAGAAAACCAUAGACUUGGAGAACAGACUUGUGGUUGCCAAGGGGCAGGGGGAGGGAUUAGGAGGCACCGGGAAUUUGGGGUUAACAGAUGUGGACUGUUGCCUUUGGAAUGCAUUAGCAAUGAGAUCCUGCUGUGUAGCCCUGCGAACUAUGUCUAGUCACUUAUGAUGAAGCUUGAUAAUGUGAGAAAAAAGAAUGUAUACAUGUGUAACUGGUCACCAUGCUGUAUAGUAGAAAAUUGACAGAACACUGUAAACCAGCUAUAAUGGAAAAAAUAAAAAUCAUUGUAUAUAAAAAAAUUAAUAAUCAAAAACACAAUAUUAUAGAAAAUAUGAGAAAAGACAUGACAAGGGGUUUCCAGGUCAAAAUAGGAAUUCUCAUAAUAAAACAUGUUCAUGUUACCUGCAAUCAAACAUAUGAAACCACAAUGAGAUACCAUUUUAUAUUCCUCAGCUUGGCAGUUUUGAGUCUGAUGAUCCCAAAUGUGGGCAAGAAUCUAGAUUACCAGAAAUUCCAGGACACUAAUGGCAAGUACCAGUUGGUACUGUUACUUUGGGAAAAAAUCUGGCCCUAGCUCAAGUUGAUUAGGUGCUUUAUUCUAUGUGUCAUACAGUAAUUCUAUGUAAGCGAUACAUCUACUCUUGUGGACGUGCACCCAGAUAUCACAUAAAAGGAUGUUCACAGCAACAGUUAGUCUUCCAUUUCAAAGAAAGAUCUAUUUCAAUAUCCAACCACAGGAGGGAAACUUGUGAUCUAUUUCUGCUUUGACAGAACACUUAGCCCUGAAAAUAAAUAAGCUGGGGUGCUUGUUUCAAAAUGAUAACACUCAAAGGCAAUGAACAUAAAAAGAAAAUAACAGAAGAGUCCAGGUUAAUUUCACUUAUUGAUUUUGAAGGGUAUGUACAUGGAGGUAAAAUAAUAAAGGACAGAAAGGCUAUCUAUGAUCAACACAAUAUUCAAAAGGCUGCUGGAGUUUCCACUGCGGUGCAACCAGAUUGGUGGCAUCUAGGGGAGCAGGGACAUAGGUUCGGCCCCGGCCAGUGGGUUGGGGAAUCCAUGUUUGCUGAAGAGGCUUGGGUUGUAACUCUGGCUCAGAUCAGAUCCCAGGCCCCAGAACUAACUCCGUGUGCCAUGGAGCAGCCAAAAAAGGAAAAAGAAAAAAAACAAAAACAGAGGUGGGGGCGCUAUGAAAUGGGGCAGGGCAGGUCAUGGAGGCACGAGCAGUGCUACAAAGGAAAGGCAAGAAGCUGGUGGCAGAACACAGGGGCUUGUGUGUUAUUCUUUAUAUGUCAGUAUAUAUAUGUAUAUAUCAUAUACAUUGAGUGUAUGCUUAUUCCACUACACGUGCGAAAUAAUUCUAAAACUUCGAAUGGUUGUAACAAAGAUUAUACAUACAUGAUCCUUCCUAUGUCCAUCCAUGGCCUGGAGCGCUAUGAACUUACCUCCACUUUCUCACUCAUCACCGCCCAGACCUGCUGCUUUUGCUUCUCCUUUCUCUCCUCUUGGAGGGGGAGGUUGUCCUGCUCAGACAGUAUCUGGCCCAUUCUAGGGGCUGAAUACAUGUUGAUUAAAGGGUUGAUCAAACUCACCUGAACUGCAUGUCUAGAAAAGGAGGAAAACUUUGCAAGUCUGGAUUAUACAUGGGCAGAGACUGCUUGGCUUCUUUGGUUUCACACAUCUUUGGAAACUUACAGCCUGUUCUCUCUACCGCCUCCUCCACCCUCCCUUGUCAUGGUGUUUAAGGUUAGAAAUAGUUCAGUGAUGAGCUCAACCUCAGACACUGUGUUCAGAAAAGGCUUCUGCCUUCAGAGGUGUCGGCAUCAGAGGGAACCCUGCUAUUAAGGGGUGCAGCC